CGGACAUCAUCCGAAAUCGUGUCAUUUCUAAAAGAGAGCUGUGUUCCCGCCAAAGUCUGCAAGGCGCCUCCCCGGAAUCACCACCGUCAAAAACGUCCAAACCUUCUACGCCACUACUCUUGGGACAGAGGAGUCGGGAUAGAACUCCGUGCGCCAGCCCUAUGGCAAGAAGAGGCGUCGUAGGCGAGCGCCAGAAUUGUUUAAUUAAGAGUGAUCGAACACCCCCAGGAUCUGCCGAAAUUCGCAAGAUCACCCUGAAGAAAUUGGAAGGAGCCACUCCGAAGAUUUCCCAGAUGAUCCUUCGCCAACGUGCCGUACAGUCGGCUCAUUGUACAAGAUCAACUGACGUACCAAAGUCACCCUUGCCAUCAGUUUGUCUAUACAAGGAGUUGACCAAGAUCCGAGCCCUCUCCGUAGAUAGCAGCGCUAUGUUGAAUCCUGCUCCUGGUGGCAAAGGUGAAGCGGAGUUUACACGUCGCCCUCGCGAGUGUGGUCUGUUAGGAUUCGAAAAAUCUUGACUAGAAUGCGUUGAGGGACGUUACUACAAUGCAGGUGCCAGAAGGUCCAUAUAGAGCGAUGAACAAGCGAGACCUAUUUGACCGAGAAACCUUGCCAAUGACCUUUGUGCGACGAUUGCCUGCAUUAACGACGUUUAAAGCCUGGAUCCACCACUGACCUGAAGAUUUAAGUACCAAAAAAUUAAAAAUUUUAUGAGCAAAUAAGCUAAUGCUUUACUUUUACAAACAAAACUGUCUUGAUAUCACUGGUAAAGGGAAAACCAACAAAUUUUCUAUUUUUUGCUUUUAAAGAUUUGCAUCUGCUUUUAAACUUCAUUCUAGUUGUAAUAUGUAUAAGAUUUCCAAAUGGCAUUCUAGUGCUUUUGCCUCGUUCUCACGCUCGUGUGUGAACU